GAUCAUGGCUCAAGAUGAACGCUGGCGGCGUGCUUAACACAUGCAAGUCGAACGGAACUCCUAUGAUUGAGGUUUCGGCCAAAAGAAUAGGACGUUUAGUGGCGGACGGGUGAGUAACGCGUGAGUAACCUGCCUUGGAGUGGGGAAUAACACAGUGAAAACUGUGCUAAUACCGCAUAAUGCAUUUGGGUCGCAUGAUUCUGAAUGCCAAAGAUUUAUCGCU
rnacentral:rRNA from 1 species